rnacentral:rRNA from 1 species
AAGCUCGUAGUUGAAUUUCGGGAUCAAUGAGUUGGUCGUGCCCUUGGUAUGAACUGGCUUUAUUGGUUCUCACCUUCUAAUGAACCAUAAUGUCAUUCAUUUGAUGUUUUGGGGAAUUAGGACUGUUACCUUGAAAAAAUUAGAGUGUUUAAAGCAGGCUCACGCUUGAAUACAUUAGCAUGGAAUAAUGAAAUAGGACAUCGCAUUCUAUUUUGUUGGUUUCUAGGAUCGAUGUAAUGAUUAAUAGGGAUAGUUGGGGGCACUAGUAUUCAAUUGUCAGAGGUGAAAUUCUUGGAUUUAUUGAAGACUAACUACUGCGAAAGCAUUUGCCAAGGAUGUUUUCAUUAAUCAAGAACGAAAGUUAGGGGAUCGAAGACGAUCAGAUACCGUCGUAGUCUUAACCAUAAACUAUGCCGACUAGGGAUCGGAUGAUGUUAAUUUUUUAAUGACUCAUUCGGCGCCUUACGGGAAACCAAAGUGUUUGGGUUCCGGGGGGAGUAUGGUCGCAAGGCUGAAACUUAAAGGAAUUGACGGAAGGGCACCACCAGGCGUGGAGCCUGCGGCUUAAUUUGACUCAACACGGGGAAACUUACCAGGUCCAGACAUAGCAAGGAUAGACAGACUGAGAGCUCUUUCUUGAUUCUAUGGGUG